UGGACGUGAUUUCACAGCCAAAACACAACCCUUCUCCAUUUCCCCAACCUAUGAGUCUCUUAUCCCUAAUUCGUACAUCCAGCCCUAGAUCAAUUUCCUUCCAAAUCCUCCCCCAAAUCGAUUCUUCCACACCUCAUUGGCAAAAUUGCCAGAAGUUCUUCAUCUUCCAAUGGACACCAUCCCCGACUGCAGGUGAUUUUCAACCCAUAAACUUUGAACCACAUCCCGUUACCUAAACGUUCAAAAUGCAAAGGAGGAAACCAUAGGAGCCCAACCAACCGUGAGAAAAACUCCGUUUGAUUCAUGGUAGACUGAUAGGCGCAAGAGGAAGGGGCUCAUCGAACGAUAACGUGCAUGAAGACCGUCAAAUGCAAUUCAUGCCUAUGCCUAUGGUUGCGGGAGAAACACAGACUGGUAUGCUUAGAUCUAGACCAGCAGCCACUUUGGUUGAUGAGUUGCAAGACAUAGAUGAGGCUGAAUCUUCAAGAUUGAGAGUGAAAAGGCACGACAUAACUGACUUGUGAACAAUUGGAUGGUCACUUCGAUGUGGUCUUCAUGCAAUGACGGACAUCAUAUUCCCCUGUUGUUUAUAAGUUAGAUGUUUAGGCAAUAUCAUCAUGCGUUCUUGUGGAUGGUUUUUAUUGUGUAAGUAUAUCAGACAAUUUUAAUCGGAUUUUGUUCCCAUGUUAACUGGAUUUUUUUUUGCUGUCUUGCUACUCAUUUGCUGUGAAGUUUUUGCCUAUUGAAAUCGGCAAAUUUUUGUUUUGUAUGUUAAUUGUCCGCAGAUAUUAGAGACUUUCUUUUGAUAUCACAAUUGGUGUCUUGUAAAUUUGUAAUGAGAGCUGUUCUGUUGAAUAUGGUCUUUUACUAGCU